UAUUGAUGUCAGUAAUUGAUUUGUGUAAAAAGUUUAUAGUAGUAGUAUAGUAUUUUGUUGUAAUGGCGUAUAACUAUAAGUUUACCAUUGGAGAUCCAGUAUGGGCGAAAAUGAAAGGAUUUUCACCUUGGCCAGGGAAGAUUGCCAUUCCGACCAAAGAAAUAAAACGUCCGGCUUUGAAGAAACCUAUACAUUGUAUUUUCUUUUUUGGGACAAAGGACUU